rnacentral:lncRNA from 1 species
UGAAGUACAGAAUCCAGAAGCUGAAGUAGGCAGACGCUCUUGGAUAAGAUUAAGAUAGCUUCAUAAUGGCUGCAAGCUCGGGCCCAGUAGUAACGGAGGUGAAAUACACAUUGGAGAUGGAAAAGGAAGAUUCUAAGCAGAUUGUGGUCUCUCAACCCAAACUACACCACGUUUCUAUCAUUACUUGUUUAUCAGGUAAAGGUUUUUCAACUUGGGAUAUUAUUCUUGUUUGAAAUGUAGUAAAUAGCAUUUGCCUUUUAACACACACACACACACACACACCACCACCACCACCACCACCACCACAUCAUUUUGCCCUAC